rnacentral:rRNA from 1 species
AUGGCGGCCACCCAAACUGAAAUUCUUGUGUUGGAUUUGACAGCCUCAAGUUUCUCCACAUUUCAGGUCCCACAAGGGUUGGUUAUUGGUUACAAACGAACCAUGUUGUCACGGGGAUAUGAUAAUUCUGGUGUGUAUCUCAUUCAUUUGAACGGGCUUCAGCUUUGCAUCUGGCUACGCACAGGAGACAACUGGUUGCUGGUGGAUACCAUUUGCUUGCGUGAGAUGUAUGCUAAAUUGAUGAUGCCUGAUCUUACAAAUUGGGUGUGGAUAAAUCAGGUGGGGGUAAAUGCUGAGUUUGUUUUCUUGAGGAUGGGUCGAUGCCUAGUCUAUGUGGGUAUCAAGUGCAGGAAGUUGUGUAAAGUCUAUGAGAUGACAAGCGAGGAUCGAUGGUUGGGUCGUGUCCAUCCUUGGAUGAUGAUUUGGCCUCCCACAUUCCCUGCGCUCAAGGAUGGUCCUGCAAGAUGUCUUUUCACUUGUUUUGAUCUUGUCACUGUUAAUUAUCGCCAUCCUUAUUAUUGGUCUGCUUUGCUUGGAACAGCGAUGCCAUGUGAAGACGGGGAAGGCCUUGGAUCAAAGAAGAGCGAACUGCGGCUGGUGGUGCGUGUGUUGUCCAUUGCAAAACCUGUGCUCGACUCCGUUAGCAACGUGCCUGUGAUGCUGACGUGGAUGAGUCCAUCUCAUCAUGAUUCGGUAAAGAGACUACUCAACUCAAUUAACAGAUGUUUCCACAACAUGAUUUGGGAAGAAUCCACAGUACCAGAGCAAACAGAGCCUGAAACCUGGAGAGAACUGUUAUUAGGAGAUUCAACUCUUUGCAGUUGCUCCCUCCACAUAUCACACUUAUCAUUCCUAGUCUCCAACGGUUGCCGAAAUCCUCAUAGAAGAGUUCAAAGACCAGCUUCUCGUCAGGAUUUUCCACCACACCAUCGGCCGUAUGUAAUUGGAGCAGAGCACCCCUGCUUCAAGACAAGAUUCUUUGAGAAUGAAGCUCAUCUCUGGAGAGUGGAGAAAGAGGCUUGUUUGACAAUCCAUAUAUGCAGCAGCAGAAGCUCCAUCCAUAUAAAGAGGGGCAUCGUGCAGCUCAACGAUCCUCAUCACAGGCAAGAGAGAGGAAGAAGCACAAGUCCAGAAGCAAUGGAGGGGAGGAAGAAGGAGAGAGUGAUGGCCGGCGCCGUCUUUCUGCUCGUCAUCCUGCUGUCGGCCCAGCGGCUGCCGGUCGGGGUUGCCGACCCCAUGUCGCCGUUCUGCCAGUGCUACCUGGGCUGCUUUGGGUUUGACCCAGAGUGCAGUGGCGAAGGGUGGCAGAGGUGCCAUGAUUACUGCUGCGCCAUAGCGUGCCGCUUCCCUGGGGACGCCGACUUCGACAGUGUACUACUUCCUACUACUACUGCUGAUGACGCUGCGGCCAAUGCCAACUACUCGAGCUGCCGCCACGGCGAAGCACGGCUAGACUCACUGCGGAGGCUGCACGGAAGCCGUCGUGUGAUGAUGAUCAGAGUCUUUGAUGUGUUGUGA